AAAGAAUAUGCAUUGUUCUUUGGAACAUAGACAUUCUGUGGUGGUAAGUGCCGAUCGUGAAAGGGUGUGUGUUGAAAAAUACGUUUUGUAAUCAGAAGGUAGAACUUGAGUUGAAGACUAAGGCAGAAAUUUGGAUAUGAGUUUUGAUAAUGCAUCUGAAAGUGACGAUGAAAUGCAGAGAAUUAAAGUGUUUCUCUACUUUCAGUCAUCCAGUGAGAGUGAACAAAGCUUGCAAAAUAGAAUUUCUACAGAUGGCUACCAAAUCACAUUGCCUCAGAAGAAUGGUGGAUCUGAAAGCAAAAUAUUUGUCUUUGAUAAAAUAUUCAGCUCUGAAACAUCAAAGCUUGAUCUCUACAAAUCCUUUAUCGGAUCUUCGAUACGAGAUGUACUGACAGGAUAUAACUGCUCUGUUGUUGUAUGUAACUCAACUUUAGAUGAAAAGCCACUGAAGAUGAAUGCAGAGUGUUUUGAUGGAUAUCUGGCAGUGCAAUCACUUACUGAUCUGUUAUUAUCUGUGAAUAAACAAGAAGCUCUGGAAGCUACUCUACAAGUAUCUUUUAUUGAAGUUUGUAAUGAUAAUGCAGUCUUUGAUCUUCUAAGUGAUGAUGAUGAUUGGAGAGAUUUGCAAGUCUUUGAUAGUCCAGAUCAUAUCUAUACUGAAAUACAAGGUGUAACAGAAAAGGCUAUCAUUGACAAACUUCAAAUACGUGAAAUGUUAUCAAAAGGCAUUGCAAAAAGUAAUAAGUCCAAGUUUUCUAGCAAAUGCAGUCAUAUUAUCUUGUCUGCGACUGUCAUUUUAAGAGAUGUAAAUAGUGAUAGUUUUGAAACCAUAAGAAAUGGAAAUUUUCUUUUGGUUGACUUAGGAAGCUGUGUGAAUGUGCUGAAAGCAAGAAGUGUACCAAUUCAUAAUGGUAAUGAAAAUCAUUUUAUGAAUGAAGAUGAAAAAUGGGGCGUAUAUCCUUGUUCAAUGAACAGAGAAACCAAGCUGUUUAAGAUUCUGAAAAAUUCUUUUGGAGGAAAUGCAAAAUCAAAAAUUAUUUUUACUGUCACCCCAUCACUUGAUUCUGAAACAGAACUAGUUUUUCUGGAGUGCUCAUCUUAUGCAAAAGAAAUUCAUAACAAGCCUGAGAUAAAUGAAAAGCUGAUAAUUAGGGAUUCAAUAAAGGAAUAUGCUGAAGAAAUACAAGCUCUGGAGAAAAAUGUAAUAUCUCUAAAAGAAAAGCAAGGAGUAUUAAUAGAGCAGCAAAAUUACAGGUGUCUUGAAAACAAUUUAGCUCUAGAAAAUGAGAAGGGAAAGGAUCUGAUGAAUGUGAGGAGAACUUUAUCAGAAUAUAUCCAUUGUAAAAAGGAAAAACUGAACAGACUUCAUCUGGAUUUGUUACAUGCAAAAAAUAUCAUUCAGGGAAAUAAAGAAAAUUGCUCAAAUUUGAAUUCGGAGUUGAAGAGGAUAAACAAUGAGAAAAAAGUCAUAGAUCAGGAUAUUAUCUCUGAAGCUCAAAAGUGCAUUGAAACAAAAAGUAUGAUAGGAUAUUACAUGACAUCUACUCAGAAUAAGAAAGAUGAACUCUUAAAGGUCCAAGACAGUUAUCAUAAAGCACUUUUAAAUAUUCAGCAUCUUGUUAAAAUGCUUCCAUCCAGUAAAAUCAUAACAGAAGAGCAAAUGGAAUUUAAAGCAUCUUUGGAAGAACUCAUGCUUCAUUUGAAACAAACGCUGGCCCUUUCUGGUUGUCAGCAGCAUGAUUUAUUGUUAAAAGUACAAGAUCUGUCUGUAAAUUUAGAUAAAUCAUCAAAUUUGUGGAAACAGUGUACUGACAGCAUAACUUCCAGCUUGGUUACUUUUAUUAAUAACUAUACUCAAGAUAGUUGUAAUUUAAAACAUCUGUUUUUUUCUGAACUUGAACCGAUUAAUGUUUCACAGAGAGAAAUUUUGGAUAUAAUUUUAAGCAAAAAGAAUGAGAAUCUACAGAUUAUGUCAAAUUCAAUACACAGAAUUCAGCUUUCUUGCAAUGCUUCCAUUAAAAUGCUGACUGAAAUGUUAUUCUUUUUGAAAGUUGUGCAAACAAGAGUGAAAUCCAUGCUCCGAUCCUUGGAAACUGAAAUUUGCUGUAUUUGCAAAGAGUUCAAGAAGUUUCUGACUGAUAUUUUUUAUUCUCUGACUUCAGUACUACAUGCUCUUGAAGAAGAGAAAAAGAGUUUUGUGCAGAUGGGAUCUAACACUGUUUCUCAUUAUCAUCUCAGAGAGACUUUUGGUGAAGAAUUUAUGAAAAUAAAGCAUGCUUUAGUUGCUGUAAAAGAAUUGUUUAGUUCAAAUUAUGAAUUAUUUGAAAAAAAGUGGAAUCAAAGGCAUGCAGACGUGCUUAAAAUGAAGCAAAUGUAUGAAGAAGUUUCUAAGUACUUACAUCUGUGUCACAGUGAAAUCCCAUCUAUGCUGGAUAAAAUGAAGCAGAAAAGCACAGCAACACUAAACGAUUUCCAAACAACUUUGUUAAACCAGACACAAAAUAUGGAGAACUUGAAGAACAUGUUAAAUGAUAAGCAUGCAGAAAUGGAUAACCUUGCAAAAAUAUGUUUUGAAGAAAACAAAAAGGAAAUAUGCAAGCAAGAAAAUGAAGUGAAGAGAGUUUUGGCCUUUCAAGAGAGGAAAGCUAUAAAAUGCUUUGAAAAUGUCCCCACAGUAGUCAAGACCAAUUCUCAAAGAAUGGAUGGACAGUUGAAGAGUAUAGAAAAUUCUGUGUCUGAUUUCAGUGCUGGCAUAAAAACAAGCUUAGGAGCAAACUGUUUAUCUCUGCAUGAUCUUGAAAAAAUUUUCAGUGAUUGCCUGUUUUUAUCUAAGAAGAUUUCCAAGAAAAGUAUUGAAAGCUGUGAAAAAAUUCCCAACAAAGAAGACAAGAAUUUUGAUAGUGCAAGCAGUAGUGAAUGUGCACAGUUUCAGGAAAGGGAAUUAAUAUCAUCUACUCCAACUACAGAUAUAUCUGUUGACGAAAAUGAUGUAUAUAAAUUGGUGAAAAAGGUGGAAUUGUGACUGUAGUUCCAGUUCAUCUUUAGUGUCUCUUUCCCUACUUAGGACAGAAAUUGAGGGAGCUAGAAUUAGUGGAAGGUACUGUAAGAAACAGAAAGCAAGAAAAAUAUUCUGAGUUUAGUUUUAUCUGUGAU
rnacentral:misc_RNA from 1 species